CUACGGGUUGCUCCAGUGGGGAAUAUUGGACAAUGGGCGAAAGCCUGAUCCAGCCAUGCCGCGUGAGUGAUGAAGGCCCUAGGGUUGUAAAGCUCUUUUGUGCGGGAAGAUAAUGACGGUACCGCAAGAAUAAGCCCCGGCUAACUUCGUGCCAGCAGCCGCGGUAAUACGAAGGGGGCUAGCGUUGCUCGGAAUCACUGGGCGUAAAGGGUGCGUAGGCGGGUCUUUAAGUCAGAGGUGAAAUCCUGGAGCUCAACUCCAGAACUGCCUUUGAUACUGAGGAUCUUGAGUUCGGGAGAGGUGAGUGGAACUGCGAGUGUAGAGGUGAAAUUCUUAGAUAUUCGCAAGAACACCAGUGGCGAAGGCGGCUCACUGGCCCGAUACUGACGCUGAGGCACGAAAGCGUGGGGAGCAAACAGGAUUAGAUACCCCGGUAGUC
rnacentral:rRNA from 1 species